rnacentral:rRNA from 1 species
UACGAAGGGUGCAAGCGUUAUUCGGAUUUAUUGGGUGUAAAGGGUGCGUAGACGGCAUAUUAAGUCCGCUGUUAAAUUUCCCGGCCUAACUGGGAGCCAGCGGUGGAUACUGAUGUGCUAGAGGAUGGAAGAGAGAAGUGGAAUUCCCCGGAGUAGCGGUAAAAAAUGCGUAGAUCUCGGGGAGGAACACCAAUGGCGAAGGCAGCUUCUUUGGUCCAUAUCUGACGUUGAGGGCACGAAAAGCGUGGGGGGAGCAAAACAGG